rnacentral:rRNA from 1 species
GACGAACGCUGGCGGCGCGCCUAAUACAUGCAAGUCGAGCGAACGGGCGAGAAGUUGGCUUUUUUGGCGUUUGCGGCGGACGUGAGAGUAACGCGUGGAUAACCUACCUAUAAGACUGGGAAAACUUCGGGACGCCGGCGCUAACCCCGUAAGACAUCUUCACCCGCAUGGUUUAAAAGUAAAGGAGGGUUUCGCUUUCACUUAUCGUUGCGUCCGCGCUGCAUGAUCUAGUUGGGACGGUCACGCCUUACCAAGGCAACGAAGCAUAGCGGACCUGAGAGGGUGGUUGGCUACACGGGAAGUGAGACACGGUCCCGACACCUGCGGGAAGACGCAGUAGGGAAUCUUACGCAAUGGGCGAAAGCCUGACGGAGCAAAGCCGCGUGAGUGAUGAAGGUCUUCGGAUCGUAAAACUCUGUAAUUAGGCAAGUACAUAUGUGUAAGUGACUGUGAACAUCUUGACGGUACUUAAUCAGAAAGCCACGGCUAACUACGUG